rnacentral:rRNA from 1 species
UAAGGGCGCACGGUGGAUGCCUUGGCACUAGAAGCCGAUGAAGGACGUUACUAACGACGAUAUGCUUUGGGGAGCUGUAAGUAAGCUUUGAUCCAGAGAUUUCCGAAUGGGGAAACCCAGCAUGAGUUAUGUCAUGUUAUCGAUAUGUGAAUACAUAGCAUAUCAGAAGGCACACCCGGAGAACUGAAACAUCUUAGUACCCGGAGGAAGAGAAAGAAAAUUCGAUUCCCUUAGUAGCGGCGAGCGAAACGGGAAGAGCCCAAACCAACAAGCUUGCUUGUUGGGGUUGUAGGACACUCUAUACGGAGUUACAAAGGACGACAUUAGACGAAUCAUCUGGAAAGAUGAAUCAAAGAAGG